AUACAUAAAAUAAAUAAAUAAAUUAAUAAAUAAAUUAAUUAAUUAAAAAAAAAAGAAAUCCAGAAGGAAGGUGAAGUGGAAAGAGUGCUGUCAAAAUUUGUCAUGUGACUGCUGUGGGUCUACAAGGUGCUUCCACAAGGCCCUGCCAUGUGUCACUGUGUGUGGCGAAUUCCCACUUCCGUGGAGCUCCUCUUAUGAUACAGCUUUCUUACCCUAUUCAUAGGGGAUAAUUUUAUUUUAUUAGCUCCUAUUAUUUAUUCUUAAAUGACAGAUGGUUUUCCCAGCUCUCAUGAAACUCAACCUUGAGGGCAAUUUCAGCAUUUCCUGAACCCUUUUGGCAUCACUGAAGGCAAGCUGGAUGGCGCCUGGAAGAGAAGGAAGGUGAAGCAGAAUUGGGAAAGAGUGUGCACAUUCUAGCCAGGAGCUGCCUCUUCACGGAGCAUAGAUGACCUGUGAGUGCCAUGGACAGCGGAGAUUGAAUGUCCCCAGCUUACUAACUUCAGAACGACGUAGAAUAGGAAGAGGCAGUCAUUAAGGAGAAUGGAUUUCAGAUUUGGCAAGACUUCUCAAUUCUUCCUCAGAGACUGGCUGCUGCAGAAAUCACUCCCAUGGCCCUGCCUUUUCAGUGAUGGCCGACUGGUCUACUUGCACAUGUCUUUUUCUCCAAGCGAGUGUAAAAGGCUGGGGUUGUAGCUACGUGGCAGAGCAAUUGCUUAGCACUUGUCAGGUCUUGGGUUCAGUCCCUAACACUGGCCCCCCACAAAGGGUCAACAACAAAAGUGAGAGUUUCUGCUCUGAUCCAAGGAACGAUGCUAUCUGCUCCCAGUCAGUGUGCUUGGUAAUAUUCCUUCCUAUGCACUUGUGUGAAUCUAGAAAGCAACCUUUUCUAUUUGAUCUAUGGUAAAGAUAACAAAUGUGUUGCUUAACAAGUGAAGGAAUAGGGCUGAUGAGAUGGCUCAGCGGGUAAGAGCACUGACUGCUCUUCUAAAGGUCCUGAGUUCAAAUCCCAGUAACAACAUGAUGGCUCACAGCUACCCGUAAUGAGAUCUGACGCCCUCUUCUGGUGUGUCUGAAGACAGCUACAGUGUACUUAUGUAUAAUAAAUAAAUAAAUAAAUAAAUCUUUAAAAAACAAAAACAACAACAACAACAAAAAACAAGUGAAGGAAUAGAGGUGUCUUCAGCCACUCACCUGGAUUUCAUAACAAAAAACAGUUUAAAUAAAAUAGGCUGCUCCUUCUUAAAGUUUUCCUUCUAGGAUUAUAUAAGGGAAUCAAAUAAAAGUGAUUUUUCAAAGCCCUCUUUGUGCUGAA